rnacentral:rRNA from 1 species
UACGUAGGGUCCGAGCGUUGUCCGGAAUUAUUGGGCGUAAAGGGCGCGUAGGCGGCCACCGCAAGUCGAUUGUGAAAUCUCCGGGCUUAACCCGGAAAGGUCAACCGAUACUGCGGGGCUAGAGUGCAGAAGGGGCAACUGGAAUUCUCGGUGUAGCGGUGAAAUGCGUAGAUAUCGAGAGGAACACCUGCGGCGAAGGCGGGUUGCUGGGCUGACACUGACGCUGAUGCGCGAAAGCUAGGGGAGCGAACGGG